rnacentral:rRNA from 1 species
UACGGGGGGAGCAAACGUUGUUCGGAAUCACUGGGCGUAAAGGGCGCGUAGGCGGGAUGGCAAGUCGGUCGUGAAAUCUCUCGGCUCAACCGAGAAACGUCGGCCGAUACUGCCGUUCUUGAGGGAUGCAGAGGAGACUGGAAUUCCCGGUGUAGCGGUGAAAUGUGUAGAGAUCGGGAGGAACACCGGUGGCGAAGGCGGGUCUUUGGGCAUUUCCUGACGCUGAGGCGCGAAAGCGUGGGGAGCAAACGGG